rnacentral:misc_RNA from 1 species
AAAGUGCGAAAAGUCUUGUGAAUUGCAGAUUGUGAAUCAUCGAAUCUUUGAACGCAAAUGGCGCUGGAGGGUUCCAAUCCCUCUAGCAUGGCUGGCUGAGUGUCGGUGCUUUCUAUCAAAAAACCAUUUUUGAGUAAAUGGUUUUUGCUGUUGGGAACGCCCUGCGGGGACGGUCCUCAAGUUGUAACAGGUAGCGCUCUUUUUGCAGAACACGAGAGAGAAACAAGGGCAAAAAGGGGAAAAGCGUGUGGUGUUGUUUUCACAAUGAGCGCGCUGCUCCCAGGGCCUCUGCUUCGCUUGCAUCUCGACAUCUCGAAGAGAGAGUGAAUCUAAACAAAAACGAAAAACACAAAAAUCGACAUCAGCUCAGGCAAGAGUACCCGCUGAACUUAA